AUUAACCCACCUCUAGCAAGAUCAUAACAGCUGAGCUUGGAGAUCUUAUAUCACUGUCGCAGUUGGUGACCCUUCUAUGAUUCUGGGUACAAUACUGAUGAAGAUAACAAGAGGAAAUGAGAGUUAGGGGAUGAUUUCAGUGUGGAUAGUUGUUAUGAUUCACUAGAUAUUGACGGGUUUUAUCUUUUCCGCAUAAGCAACUAUGGAAUCCGAAAAUUCCACUAAAGGUUUCUUUCUUGGUUUGGACUCUAUGUUUUAAUGGUUCCCCAACUAAUGAUUUUUAGGUAACUAUAAAGUUGUGGAGUUACUUUUUUGAAAGUUUAGGUUUGAAGUGGGUUUUCACGGAGAAUGUUAAGCUUAUUUUAUGGGAAUGCCAAACAAAAAGAGUAAUGACAUGAAAAAGAAGUUUUGGAGUCUUAUCCCUUUUGCAAUUUGGUGGACAAUAUGGAAAGAAAGAAACGCUCGUAUGGCGGCAAGAGAAGAAGAAAUUGGAAGUCGUUGAUCAUCUCUAUUAAGUGUACUUUGUUUAAUUGGGUACGUCUCAUAGGAUCUUUAAGGGUAACUCAUUAAGUACACUUAUUAGCAAUUGGAAUGUUGUAGUUGGCAGUUGCUAAUUCUGUGUUUCUCUCCUCUGUAAUUUUAGAUAGUUCUGCCACUUAUUUGGUAACUGCAACUUUUUUUUAUAAACUUUGUCCUUUGAUUUGUCAAAAGAAGAAGAAGAAGUUGUGUUUUAAAAAGCUAGGAAGUUGUAAUAGAAAGAAGUGGAGGGACUUGGAAAUUUCUGUUGAAGAAAUUUAUUUUUUUAACACAAAUACUCAUGUUGAACCAUGAAAUUGACCACAUAAAUACCACAUUCACAAUACUCAUAUAGAACCCUGAAAUUGAACCAUAUAAAAACCACACUCUAACAAUAGUUAAUAUGGGGACCUUGUUUCCUCUAAGUGGUAGGAUCAUUCAUUCUGUGUAUGUGCGGUUUUGAUGCGGUUUAAUUUCAAUCACCGGAUUACACUUGUGUAGCCUCCUGGAGACAAAAGAGUAAUCCGAGAGGGAAAAGCUAGCAAAGCAAUUUCCUUGAUUGUUUAUUGUUUGGGUCUUAUUUUGAACUUGCUGCAAUUUGAACCACUUUUGCUUAUGUGUUCACUUUUGCCGUAUGUUAAAUCGGUGUGACUAGGUACAACGGAGAGACGAUUUUUGCGUUUUCACUUCCCUACUGGUAAGAUAAACCCUAGGUAUUUCCGCAAAAUGAUGAAUUCUACAGCUUCUUCUUGUUCUUCAAAUUCAAUCGAUGACCAUCAGCAAAAUCUUGUUGCUGCAAUUGAGAAUUUAUCAUUAUCAUCAACAACAGCAACCUCUUCUUCUGCAAUACAAGUGGGUAAUAAUAUUGAUUUGAUUACAGAAAUUUUACUAUGUCUACCUAUUAAAUCUCUGCUUGUAUUCAAAUCUGUGUCAAAACAAUGGUUAUGUCUCAUUACUGAUCCAUCCUUCGCUAUUAAUCAUAUACGUCGUCACCUUAUCUCUAAAAUUAGUGGCUUAUUCUUUGAAAAACUUUCCCCCGAUUUUGAAAUUUUAUAUGAUUUUAUACUUCUUGAUGGAAGUAGAGUUGAAGAGGAGGUGAUAUAUAGUACUAAUACUGCUGUUGUUGCUGAGGGUGGUAAAGGUGCCCUCUUUAAAACUCUGAAUUUUGCUGAAUCUGAGCAAGUGAUUACACAUACUGAAAAUGGUGUCCAGAUCAUUGAAAAUGGGGUCCGAAUCGUUCAGUCUUGUAAUGGUCUUUUAUGUUGCAUUAAGGAGACUGAAGUUAUAAACGAUGAGAAUGCGCCUCGCGUUUACACAACCCGGACCUACAUUUAUAAUCCAACGACAAGACAAUGCAAAAUUCUUCCUCCGUCCCCUUUCAGAGAUGUGGUGGGAGAGGAUUGUUGCUUUAAGGUUUCCAGUAUCAGCUUGGCUUUUGAUCCAAUCAAGUCACCGGAUCACUAUCAAGUUAUCUGCAUUUGGAGAGAUAUUGUGAAAGAUUGGGACUUUGAAUGGUAUGAUGAUGAAUACCUUCACAAUCAUUAUAUCGAAAUUUACUCCUCUAAAAUGAAUUCCUGGAAGAAGGUAAGCUCUUCAUCUGUUAAUCCAUUUUAUGCGCUUCCUAAUAGUUUUACAAAGUCCGGUGUCUACUGGAAUGGUUCUUUGCAUUGGAUUGCAACUGCGGAUAACACUACAACUGAAUCGUCCAUGUAUUUUGAUAUUGUGCAAGAACUAGUAAAGCCGUUUCCUUUUCCAACUACUUCUGAUCAUACUGUGUCGCAUGCUGUGUAUUUCGAAGAGUGCGGGGGUCAUUUGUAUCUUAUUGAGGUUCUUGCGUCAUGUUACACUAGUUACAAUAUUUGGAAGCUGGAGACUGGUUAUUCAGGAUGGAAACUAAUAUACAAGCUCGACCUGGAAAGAUUUAUUAGAGCAUAUCCAGGGUAUGAUUCUUAUGCAGUUGAUAGGACUCUUAUGCUUUUUAGAAUGGUAUUGGUCCUAGAGGAAGAUGAAGAAGAUUCACUAUCAAAGCUGGUGGUGCUCGUAGAUGGUAGAAGGGUUAUCUCUUAUGAUCUUAAAAAAUUGAGCAUCACAGAAAUCCAUACUUUUACUGAGUAUAAUGUUCAUGCAUCAGCUCGAAUUGGGGGCUUAUGGGGUUCCCUUCAUCAUUACAUUGAGUCGCUUGCUUGCGUUUGAUGCAUUCUCUGAAACACUCUCCAGUUUGUGAAUUGCGGGAGAGAAGCUGGUCGAUUUGAUUGUUUUUGUGUGCUUACAUCUCCAGUUCAGUGGCUUAAAUAGAGGGCAGACAGUGAUUGUACUCUCAUAGUAAAAUUUGCAAAAAUUGAGAAGGCUUUUGACAGAUAAUUGGAAGCACUUCAAGUUUGUUUCACACAACAUGGGUGUAGUAGCAAAUGGUUAAAAUUUGCUACUCCUGCUGUUUUUUCUGUUUUAAUAAAUGACUCAGCAUUUGGUCUUUUCAGGAGCAGCAGGGGAGUUAGGCAAGGUUUCUCUGGAUACAUUGGCAGAGCUGCUAAUUUAAAGUUAUUUACUGGUCUUUCUGUGUCUGAGAAUGGGUCUGAGGUCAAUCACUGGCAUUACGCAGCCGGCACAAUACCACUGUUCUUAGAUAACAAGAAGAAAGAAUUGUAUAACUUGUUCUCUGUGCUUCAUUGUUUUGAAUUUGUUGCAGGUCUGAAAGUGAAUACUGUCAAGAUUAGACUAAUUCCAAUUGGUCAUAGUCCUGAAAAAUCUUAUUGAUGAAUCGAAUGCUGUGUAUUUCGAUGGAGACUGAUUAUUCAGGGUGGAAACUAAUGUACAAGAUCGACCCAGAAACAUUUGUAAUUGCGUAUCCAGGGUUUGAUACUCUUCCAGUUGAUAGGACUCCCGUUUUAUAGAAUGGUACUGCUCCUAGAGGAAGAUGAAGAAGAAUCAUUGUCAAAGCUGGGUGGUGCUUUUAGCUGGUAAAAGGGCUGAUUCAUGUGAUCUUAAAGAAUUUAGCAUUACAGAAAUUCAUACUUUUGCUGAGUAUAAUGUUCAUUCAGCAGCUUGAAUUGGGGGCUUAUCGGGUUCCCUUCAUUACAUUGAAUCACUUGCUUGUGUUUGAUGCAUUCUCCCAAGAACUCGUCACUUUGUGAAUUGAGAGAGAGUAGUUGUUAAAAGUCUGUUAUUUUUUAUUCCCUUAUCAUGGUAUUAAUCAGAAAAGUUCAGGGAAGUUUCAAGCUGGACUUUUGAACCAUUUACUGUUAGUAUUCCUUAG